rnacentral:rRNA from 1 species
UACGGAGGGUGCGAGCGUUGUCCGGAAUCACUGGGCGUAAAGGGCGCGUAGGCGGCCUGAUAAGUAGGGGGUGAAAUCCUGCGGCUUAACCGCAGGGCUGCCUUCUAAACUGUCAGGCUUGAGCACAGUAGAGGCAGGUGGAAUUCCCGGUGUAGCGGUGGAAUGCGUAGAGAUCGGGAAGAACAUCAGUGGCGAAGGCGGUUGCCUGGGGCUUUGCUGACGCUGAGGCGCGAAAGCGUGGGGAGCGAUCCGG